UACAGAGGUCCCAAGCGUUGUUCGGAUUCAUUGGGCGUAAAGGGUGCGUAGGCGGCGCGGUAAGUCGGGUGUGAAAUCUCGGAGCUUAACUCCGAAACUGCAUUCGAUACUGCCGUGCUUGAGGACUGGAGAGGAGACUGGAAUUUACGGUGUAGCGGUGAAAUGCGCAGAUAUCAGGAAGAACACCAACGGCGAAGGCAGCUCGCUGGGACGGUACUGACGCUGAGACGCGAAAGCGUGGGGAGCGAACAGG
rnacentral:rRNA from 1 species